CAAAAUUUAAACAAAUUAGUUUUUAUUAAUUAUAAUCUGCAAAAUGGCAACUACUAAAUCUUUUUUAAUUUUAAUUUUUAUGUUAUUAGCAACUACUAGUUCAACAUUUGCUUCGUUGGAAGAAAUGGUGAUUGUUCUUAGUAUUGAUGGAGGUGCAAUUAGGGGAAUCAUUCCGAGUGUCAUUCUUGAAUUUUAGAAGGAGAACUUCAGAGAAUAGACAAUAAUCCAGAUGCAAGACUAGCAGAUUACUUUGAUGUAAUUGGAGGAACAAGUACAUGAGGUUUAUUGGCUGCUAUCUCCAAAUGAAAACAAUCGACCCUUUGCUGCUACCAAUGAAACUGUACCUUUUUACUUCGAACAUGGCCCUAGGAUUUUUUCUUCUAGG